rnacentral:rRNA from 1 species
AAGUCGAACGAAGUAGCAAUACUUAGUGGCAGACGGGUGAGUAACAUGUAGGUAUCUGCCCUUUGGCCUGGAAUAACACGAGGAAACUUGUGCUAAUACCGGAUAAGUCUUUACGGAGAAAGCUUUAUGCACCAUUGGAUGAGCCUGCACUUGAUUAGUUUGUUGGUGGGGUAAUGGCCUACCAAGACUGUGAUCAAUAGCUGAUUUGAGAGGAUGAUCAGCCACAUUGGGACUGAGACACGGCCCAAACUCCUACGGGAGGCAGCAGUGGGGAAUCUUGCACAAUGGAGGAAACUCUGAUGCAGCGAUGCCGCGUGAGUGAAGAAGGCCCUUGGGUUGUAAAGCUCUUUCGUCGGGGAAGAAAAUGACUGUACCCGAAUAAGAAGGUCCGGCUAACUUCGUGCCAGCAGCCGCGGUAAUACGAAGGGACCUAGCGUAGUUCGGAAUUACUGGGCUUAAAGAGUUCGUAGGUGGUUGAAAAAGUUAGUGGUGAAAUCCCAGAGCUUAACUCUGGAACUGCCAUUAAAACUUUUCAGCUAGAGUAUGAUAGAGGAAAGCAGAAUUUCUAGUGUAGAGGUGAAAUUCGUAGAUAUUAGAAAGAAUACCAAUUGCGAAGGCAGCUUUCUGGAUCAUUACUGACACUGAGGAACGAAAGCAUGGGUAGCGAAGAGGAUUAGAUACCCUCGUAGUCCAUGCCGUAAACGAUGUGUGUUAGACGUUGGAAAUUUAUUUUCAGUGUCGCAGCGAAAGCGAUAAACACACCGCCUGGGGAGUACGACCGC